ACGCUCGACACCUACGGGAAGCAGCAGUAGGGAAUCUUCCACAAUGGACGCAAGUCUGAUGGAGCAACGCCGCGUGAGUGAAGAAGGUCUUCGGAUCGUAAAACUCUGUUGUUAGAGAAGAACACGAGUGAGAGUAACUGUUCAUUCGAUGACGGUAUCUAACCAGCAAGUCACGGCUAACUACGUGCCAGCAGCCGCGGUAAUCUGAGCGGGCUGGCAAGGC
rnacentral:rRNA from 1 species